rnacentral:lncRNA from 1 species
CUCAUUAAAAGAACUAAAUAAUUUUCCACACUCCAUUAUUAAUUUAAAAACAAGCACUAAAUAAAUAAAAAAUAAGAAAUCUCUUUACUAAUCAAUAUUAAAAUGUAACACAACACGAUUAGACAAAUUCUAAACUCACUCUGACACUCGCGAUAUUCUCAAGUUAGCGUGUAUGUAAAAAACCAGUAAAUAACAAUGCACGCUAAUAGUGACGUCACUGACUUGAUGAAGUUUCGCGUGUACCUAACUUUUUAAUUUGCGUACACGUUAGCGUGUACCUAGACACAGCGAUACUAUUCUCAAUAUGGCUACUGGGUGUAAAAGAUAAAUCUUAUUCUAUCUGUUCUUCAUGAGUUUUAGAUAAUUUUAGUUGUAUUUCUUUGUAAUUUUGUGUUGUACAAAGAUUAAUUUAACAUUUUCUCUGGAAGUAUUAAUUUAGAAAGAUAAUAUGCUUCCUUGGUGUUGUGUUUUGAAGUGUGAAAUGCAAAGUAAUUGUGAUAAAGUCAAGAUAAAGUUCACUUUUAAACUGAACUAAAUAAGGUAUCUGAGAGACAACAAUGGUUAAAUGCAAUACAAUAUACAGGUUUUACUAGCGAAAUGAAAAUUUUCCUGUCCUGUCUGCUGUAAUCAUUUUAUAUCUGGAAAACCAGUCGACUUAAUCGAUAAUAACAAUCUCCAGAUUGGGUUCCUUCAAUAAAUAUGGGCUAUAAACACAAUGAAAUAAGUUCCCCAAAAUCUAAAAUGGAGUGGUAUCAAAGGAGAAUGAAAGGAAAAAAUAUUCAUAUUGAAAUUAUUUAUAAGGCACUGGACUGUCUUAAAUUCUACAAUAAUACUAGAAUCAGCUGAGAGAAGUGGUCUACAAAAAACCAGGAAGGAAACGGAAUAUGUGGCUACGAAAGGCAAAAGAAAGGUUUACAAAGCAAAUGUGACACAUUUUUUUGAAAUGUUUAGGAAUAUCAGUAAAUUGCAUUAAAAAAAUGUAUGAAAAGAUUUUGUUCAAUAAAAAUGUUUAUAUUUA